rnacentral:rRNA from 1 species
GAAGGAGGGUGCGAGAGGUAAUCGGAAUUACUGGGCGUAAAGCGCAUGUAGGCGGCCGAACAAGUCAGGUGUGAAUUCCUCGGGCUUAACCUGGGAAGUGCACUUGAUACUGUCCGGCUAGAGUUUGGCAGAGGAAAGUAGAAUUCCCGUUGUAGCAGUGAAAUGCGUAGAUAUCGUGAGGAAUACCAGUGGCGAAGGCGGCUUUCUGGGCCAAUACUGACGCUGAGGUGCGAAAGCGUGGGGAGCAAACAGG